rnacentral:rRNA from 1 species
GAUGAACGCUAGCUACAGGCUUAACACAUGCAAGUCGAGGGGCAGCAUGCUGAUAGCUUGCUAUCAGUGAUGGCGACCGGCGCACGGGUGAGUAACGCGUAUCCAACCUGCCUGUCACUCAGGAAUAGCCCGGUGAAAACCGGAUUAAGUCCUGAUGAUAUCAUUAGAGGGCAUCUGACGAUGAUUAAAGGUUACGGUGACGGAUGGGGAUGCGUCUGAUUAGCUUGUUGGCGGGUAACGGCCCACCAAGGCAACGAUCAGUAGGGGUUCUGAGAGGAAGGUCCCCCACAUUGGAACUGAGACACGGUCCAAACUCCUACGGGAGGCAGCAGUGAGGAAUAUUGGGUCAAUGGGCGAGAGCCUGAACCAGCCAAGUAGCGUGCAGGACGACGGCCCUAUGGGUUGUAAACUGCUUUUAUAAGGGAAUAAAGUGAGUCUCGUGAGACUUUUUGCAUGUACCUUAUGAAUUAAAGGACCGGCUAAUUCCGUG